ensembl:lncRNA TTN-AS1 TTN antisense RNA 1
GGAGCGCCUCUGACUGACUUCCCCCAUGUGUCCGUGUGGCCACACCGUGCUACUUUCAGAGGCAGUGGGCUUUUCGCUAAGGGAUAAAAAGAAGUAAAACCUUGCCUUUAGCGCAGCUCUCCUUCACUGGGCAGAUUGCUCUCCCUCCCCACUCUCCCAGGCCCAAAUUGGAUCUCAGCGCCUGGGAGCUCCAACUUUAGCAAGUGCGAAAUCCUGUCUUCGGUUUUGGAAUUUUCAUCCGCACAGACUAUAUCAGCCACGGAUAGGAUAUGUGAGAAUACCAGCAUGUCAAGGCUGGGAAUCAUCCUUAGGCAUCACCUAGCCAGUCCUGCCUCUCAUUUUAAGGAACACCUGGAGAUGAAGACAAGGAAGAUGUCAGUUUCUACAUUAAGUAACAAACUAGAAAGAAAACAACUUUUUUUCUCCUUCACAAAAACAUACCAAAUGGGAACUGCGCAACCAUCUUUGGAGAUGUGAGAGGCUCUGAAAUGCCAAAUCGGUUUUCAGCACGGACCCGGAAGAUGUACUCCUGGCCUGGGAUCAGCUUUCCAACCCUGCAGGAAGUUUUUGUGACUGAAGCUAGAGCCGUGACCCAGUCACCUCGGCUUACAUCACACUUCUCCACUAUAUAAUUGGUGAUGUUACUGCCUCCGUCCUCCAGAGGGAUGUGCCAUGACAGGGAGCAAGCAUCAGCGUCUAUAUCAGAAAUGUCAAAUGGAGGCUGAGGGGGGCCGGGGGCAUCUACAUGAACCAAGAGGAAAGAAAUAGAAUAGACGCCUUGAUGGCUCCUCUGGCAGUUCUUGAUGACCAUGGAUGAGCUAAUGGCUGUGGUCUCAAUGGUGGCUUCUUGAGGAGCAUGCAGAGAAAUUGCUUUAGCCUCUGAUAAAUAAAACAGACUGCGAGGAAAAUUACAGCGAGGAAAUUACAGACAUCAUCUCCUUUGAACAGGGAAAAGGUAACAGGUUGUAAUUGCAGUGGAAGGGGAGACCAAACAUUCAAAGAUUGCUGAAGAGCCAACGAACUCUGAUUCUGUCAAGAUGAUGUCUUUGAUUUCUUUCACAAACUUCAGUGGCACAGCCUUUAGCUGGAAAAUGCAAGAAGACAUAUGUAGAUGAGACAAAGAUAGACCAUGUCUAUACAUGUAUGAAAUGGAUGGGAGACAAAGGAAGCAACACUCAUGAGCCAGGACCAUAAAAGCCACAGAAAUAUAAGAAAUGAAUGGGACUACUCUCUGAUCAUUGAAAAAGAGAGACAGAACAUUCGAUGGAGGCAGAAAGAGCAAGGAGUCAGGCACUUUAAAGACAUCAUUUCAUGAUAAGGAUUUAUUUUGAAGGACAAAAAAAGAGAAACCAAGAAGACCCCACACCCAGAAAGACCAAUGUGUUAACAGUCGCUCAAGACAGAUGGUAUUGCCUCUGAAUUUGCUGAUUCAGAAGAUGUCGGACUCAUGUUAUCCUAUAGAAGAUGUAACAACCCAUAUACAUUUAUGAAAAUCAGGAACUACAUUAUUAUAAUGAUGAAGGAAAAGCCCAAGAAAUCAACCAACCUGAAACCUGCAAUGAAGCUGUGCAGCUGUCUUUGCCAACAGGGUUCUGCACCUCAAAACUGUAUACCCCACUGUCACUCGGUGCUACAUUGAUGAUCUUAAGGCCGGAUACUUUGUUGAAGAAGCUUAUUUUGUAUUUGUUGUCACUUGUUAGCUCUUUUCCAUCCUUAAACCACUUAGUACUGAGUUCAGGGGUGCCAGC